AGCGAACGCUGGCGGCAGGCCUAACACAUGCAAGUCGAACGAACUCUUCGGAGUUAGUGGCGGACGGGUGAGUAACACGUGGGAACGUGCCUUUUGGUUCGGAAUAACUCAGGGAAACUUGUGCUAAUACCGAAUGUGCCCCUCGGGGGAAAGAUUUAUCGCCAUUAGAGCGGCCCGCGUCUGAUUAGCUAGUUGGUGAGGUAACGGCUCACCAAGGCGACGAUCAGUAGCUGGUCUGAGAGGAUGACCAGCCACACUGGGACUGAGACACGGCCCAGACUCCUACGGGAGGCAGCAGUGGGGAAUCUUGCGCAAUGGGCGAAAGCCUGACGCAGCCAUGCCGCGUGAAUGAUGAAGGUCUUAGGAUUGUAAAAUUCUUUCACCGGGGACGAUAAUGACGGUACCCGGAGAAGAAGCCCCGGCUAACUUCGUG
rnacentral:rRNA from 1 species